rnacentral:rRNA from 1 species
GGCGGCGUUCCUAAUACAUGCAAGUCGAGCGAACAGACGAGGAGCUUGCUCCUUUGACGUUAGCGGCGGACGGGUGAGUAACACGUGGGUAACCUACCUAUAAGACUGGGAUAACUUCGGGAAACCGGAGCUAAUACCGGAUAAUAUUUCGAACCGCAUGGUUCGAUAGUGAAAGAUGGCUUUGCUAUCACUUAUAGAUGGACCUGCGCCGUAUUAGCUAGUUGGUAAGGUAACGGCUUACCAAGGCAACGAUACGUAGCCGACCUGAGAGGGUGAUCGGCCACACUGGAACUGAGACACGGUCCAGACUCCUACGGGAGGCAGCAGUAGGGAAUCUUCCGCAAUGGGCGAAAGCCUGACGGAGCAACGCCGCGUGAGUGAUGAAGGUCUUCGGAUCGUAAAACUCUGUUAUUAGGGAAGAACAAACGUGUAAGUAACUGUGCACGUCUUGACGGUACCUAAUCAGAAAGCCACGGCUAACUACGUGCCAGCAGCCGCGGUAAUACGUAGGUGGCAAGCGUUAUCCGGAAUUAUUGGGCGUAAAGCGCGCGUAGGCGGUUUUUUAAGUCUGAUGUGAAAGCCCACGGCUCAACCGUGGAGGGUCAUUGGAAACUGGAAAACUUGAGUGCAGAAGAGGAAAGUGGAAUUCCAUGUGUAGCGGUGAAAUGCGCAGAGAUAUGGAGGAACACCAGUGGCGAAGGCGACUUUCUGGUCUGUAACUGACGCUGAUGUGCGAAAGCGUGGGGAUCAAACAGGAUUAGAUACCCUGGUAGUCCACGCCGUAAACGAUGAGUGCUAAGUGUUAGGGGGUUUCCGCCCCUUAGUGCUGCAGCUAACGCAUUAAGCACUCCGCCUGGGGGAGUACGACCGCAAGGUUGAAACUCAAAGGAAUUGACGGGGACCCGCACAAGCGGUGGAGCAUGUGGUUUAAUUCGGAGCAACGCGAAGAACCUUACCAAAUCUUGACAUCCUUUGACUCUUCUAGAGAUAGAAGUUUCCUUCGGGGGACAAAAU